UACGUAGGGGGCAAGCGUUGUCCGGAAUUACUGGGCGUAAAGCGUGCGCAGGCGGCUUUGCAAGACAGAUGUGAAAUCCCCGGGCUCAACCUGGGAACUGCAUUUGUGACUGCAUGGCUGGAGUGCGGCAGAGGGGGAUGGAAUUCCGCGUGUAGCAGUGAAAUGCGUAGAUAUGCGGAGGAACACCGAUGGCGAAGGCAAUCCCCUGGGCCUGCACUGACGCUCAUGCACGAAAGCGUGGGGAGCAAACAGG
rnacentral:rRNA from 1 species